ACUCCUACGGGAGGCAGCAGUAGGAAUUUUCCGCAAUGGACGAAAGUCUGACGGAGCAAUGCCGCGUGAGUGAUGAAGGUUUUCGAAUCGUAAAGCUCUGUUGUAAGGGAAGAAUAGCAAGAUAGGAAAUGAUCUUGUCUGCGGUACCGUUACCUACGAAGACCACGGCUAACUACGUGCCAGCAGCCGCGGUAAUACGUAGGUGGCAAGCGUUAUCCGGAAUUAUUGGGCGUAAAGCGCAUGUAGGCGGCUUUAUGAUCUGAUGUGAAAGCCAGUGGCUCAACCACAUGAAUUGCAUUGGAUACUGGAAGCUAGAAUCUUGGAGAGGUAAGUGGAAUUUCAUGUGUAGCGGUGGAAUGCGUAGAUAUAUGAAGGAACACCAAUGGCGAAGGCAGCUUACUGGACAAGUAUUGACGCUGAGAUGCGAAAGUGUGGUAGCAAACAGGAUUAGAUACCCUGGUAGGCUCUG
rnacentral:rRNA from 1 species